UACGGGAGGCAGCAGUGGGGAAUAUUGCACAAUGGGCGCAAGCCUGAUGCAGCCAUGCCGCGUGUAUGAAAAAGGCCUUCGGGUUGUAAAGUACUUUCAGUCGUGAGGAAGGUGUUAAGGUUAAUAACCUUAGCAAUUGACGUUAGCGACAGAAGAAGCACCGGCUAACUCCGUGCCAGCAGCCGCGGUAAUACGGAGGGUGCGAGCGUUAAUCGGAAUUACUGGGCGUAAAGGGCACGCAGGCGGUUAAUUAAGUUGGAUGUGAAUCCCCGGGCUUAACCUGGGAAUGGCAUUCAAGACUGGUUAGCUAGAGUCUUGUAGAGGGGGGUAGAAUUCCAUGUGUAGCGGUGAAAUGCGUAGAGAUGUGGAGGAAUCCGGUGGCGAAGGCGGCCCCUGGACAAAGACUGACGCUCAUGUGCGAAAGCGUGGGGAGCGAAACAGGGAUUAGAUACC
rnacentral:rRNA from 1 species